UCUGGUGACUAUAGCAAGGAGGUCACACCUGUUCCCAUGCCGAACACAGAAGUUAAGCUCCUUAGCGCCGAUGGUAGUCGGACUUACGUU
rnacentral:rRNA from 1 species